CUCCAACAUGACAAAGAGCAAUCUGCUGAAGGAGCCUCUCAGUCAUGGCCUCAUCUUAAUGGUAACUCCAGUGAAUCAAGUGCAAAGGCCACAUGCUCACUCUGCUGAUCUAGUGAGCCCACCCUCGUGUUUACCUCCAUGCCAGAAGCAAGUUUGUAUGUGUGAUACCACAGGAUGACAUAUGACAACGUGUAUCAAGAAACACAUAUCAACACCCA
rnacentral:lncRNA from 1 species